GUGCCAGCCGCCGCGGUAAUAAGGAGGGUGCAAGCGUUAAUCGGAAUUACUGGGCGUAAAGCGUGUGUAGGUGGUUCGUUGAGUCGGAUGUGAGAGCCCCGGGCUCAACCUGGGAACUGCAUUCGAUACUGACGGACUAGAGUUUAGCAGAGGAAAGCGGAAUUCCGGGUGUAGCGGUGAAAUGCGUAGAUAUCCGGAGGAACACCAGUGGCGAAGGCGGCUUUCUGGGUUAAAACUGACACUGAGGCACGAAAGCGUGGGUAGCAAACAGGAUUAGAUACCCUGGUAGUCCACGCCCUAAACGAUGUCGACUGGCUGUCGGGUUCAUUUGGAACUUGGUAGCGAAGCUAACGCGUUAAGUCGACCGCCUGGGGAGUACGGCCGCAAGGUUAAAACUUAAAGGAAUUGACGUGG
rnacentral:rRNA from 1 species